GGAAUACCUUGUGUGUUGUAUCCUAGUGCUGGAAAAACCAAGGACCACUUGUUGUUAGAUUCGCGAAGAGUGGCCUGAAUUUUUCUAACCAAACACCCGGUCACGGCAACUACUCCAUAUCUAUCCUCCUCGGCGCUACCUAUCCAUGGCUGCCAUGCCUCGCUAGCUCUUCAGGUCAACUCUUCGGGUCGCCGCCUCGGCGUGCCUGAUGGCGCCUUACCAAGCUUGCUCGCCGAGCCGCCGCCGCGCGUCCGUAUUGUGCUCACGCUCCGGCCAGCCAUAUGGUGGCAUCGUAGACAGGGCGCAGGCUUCAAUCAGAUGGGCUGCAGAUGAAUGAUUAACUGUAACACGAAUCUUGCCUGAUGAAAUUGGGUUGCGUUCCCCAAUAUCACAAGGACCAUAGGAAUAUAGGAUAGGUUUGCUCCUAACCAUUUCUCAGCAUGCAGCCAUAACUAUAUAUAUGUGAUAGUAGUGGCAUCUAGCUAGUUGUCAAGUAGCACUACUAUCAGAGCUAGCUUGUUGUCUAGUACUAGUAUCGGUUUAACCUCAGUAUCUUAGGAGCUCCAACCCGAUGCUUUGUACUAAGAUAGAUAAUUAAUCCUUAAAUCAUGAAUGAUAGACAGUAGACACUAAAGGAUGGCCGGGAUUCGGAUUAAACCUUUCUGAGGCAGCUUGACACUGGUGGCCUCAGAAUGGUAUUCUGAGGCAAAGCGUUAGCCUCAAAAUAUGGUAUUAAUUUGGAGUCAGAGCAUGCCCGGUUGUACGCUUUGCCUCAUUGUUUGCUUCGAAAAUUUAGUAUGAUGCUCAAUUUUUUCGCAGUAUUCACAAUAUUGUUAGAGUAGCUUGCUAGAACUCUUUUAGCGUCGACUUAGCACUCUCAUUUGAAAUUAGAUCGGAUCCUAAUAUAACUAUUUCACUUGUGAUUUAAAUUCAAUCUUAAUUAAGCUUACUUGUUAUAAUUAUAUAAAUAUCACAUAUCAUAUCAAGGUUGUGACACGUAAUUUAAUCUUACGCAAUUCUAUCAGAGCAUGUUCGCAUAUGUAAUGUACCUACUCUUAGCUAUUGCAAAUCUCAGACUGUCUAAUUUCCUGGGGCUAACCUUAAAUAUCGUAGUUAUGUAUUCUGAGAUUUCUCCCCUUUCUUGACAAAUCCAUCUAAUCAUUUGUCUAAUAUAUAGUUGAUGAUUUUGCUAACAAAAUUGUUCUGCCAAGGAGAUGCCCUAAGCCAAAGUUGCCAUGCUGCCACCAAAUGAAACAUGUUGCUGCGCCAAGCAAAACUGCGAAGCCAAGUGAAAAAAGCAGCGAAAGGCGCAAGACGACCAAAAUUUUAGUGGGCUCGUAGCGCUGAAGUCCCAAAAGGGCUCAUCCAGCAGCAGGGCCAAACCCUUCUCCAGGAUAAUGAAUACUUCAUUAUCCUGGUAGGGUUGUUUUCUAGAUGUUCUAUGAAAAUUAUUGAAUUCCUUCAGUAUGUCUUACAUACAUGUGAGUACAAAUUUUGACGGAAUAUGCACACACACCAGCUAUCUUAUCUGAACGAAGAAACAUGGCAUGUAGAACUAUUGAAGGAGAUGAUCCAAGGACCGGUAAUGCUUAUUUCUGAUGGAGAUCUAA